CAUCAUUACAGAGCAUGCCCAGGCCUGUUUUGAUAAACAUGCACUGAACAUUCUCAGGGUAGGAAUACAGAGAUGGGUCAGACAAAGAGCUGAACUCAAAGACCCUACAUCCUACAGGAGAAGAGAUGGAAACUGCAUUUGCUAACAUAUAAAAGAAGGAAAACUGCAGGGUCAUCGCCUUGACAGACUGGAAGGGAGUCCCAGAGAAGGGUGUCUGCUGGGUGUCCGCCUUGAUCUAUACUGCUGUAAUAUAAAGCUGCACCCCAUACCAAUGCCAGGAUCACCUUUCUAAAAUAUGGAUUUCACCAUUUCACUAUGUUAAUUAAAAUUCUGUGAUGGCC
rnacentral:lncRNA from 1 species